rnacentral:rRNA from 1 species
AUGAUUAUACAAAUUUUUUAUGCCGGAUUGAAUUUUGCUUCUAGAAAUCUUUUAGAUUCGGCCGCGGGAGGCACUUUUAUGGAAAUCACUUUAGGAGAAGCUACUAAACUCCUAGAUAAUAUUAUGGUUAAUUAUUCUCAAUGGCAUACUGAAAGAUCUACUAAUAAAAAGGUGCAUGUGAUAGAAGAAAUUAAUGUUUUGAGUGGAAAGAUGGAUGAACUUAUGAAAUUAUUUGCUAGUAAGAGUGUUUCUUCUGAUCCUAAUGAUAUGCCCUUGUCUACUUUGAUUGAGAAUAAUAAUGAAUCUAUGGAUGUGAAUUUUGUUGGUAGGAACAAUUUUGGUAACAACGCAUAUAGAGGAAAUUUUAAUCCUAGGCCUUAUUCAAGUAAUCCCUCUAAUAAUUAUGGUAAUUCCUACAACAAUUAUUAUGGAAAUUAUAAUAAGAUUCCCUCUGAUUUUGAAUCUAAAAUUAAAGAAUUUAUUACUUCGCAAAAGAAUUUCAAUGCUUUGAUUGAAGAAAAAUUGCUUAAGAUUGAUGAGUUGGCUAGGAACAUUGAUAGAAUUUCUCUUGAUAUUGAUUCUUUGAAACUUAGAUCUAUUCAUACGAAGCAUGAUAUCAAUGAGUCUCUCAAAUCCAUGAAAAUUUCCAUUGAUGAGUGCAAAGAAAGAACCGCUAGGAUGCGUGCUAAGAAAGAUGCUUUUAUAAGAGUGUGUUCUUCUAGUUCCUAUGAAAAUAAAUAUGAAGAUCUAAAAGUUAUUGAUGUGUAUCUUAUUAAAUCUUUGUUUUGCAAUAUGAAUCUUGAUAAUGAUGGGACUUAA